GGUAUUCAGCAUGCCCAUGCUGAGGGUGACGGGUUCGAUUCCCGGUCGGUUCAGGAACCUUUCAUAUUGGAAAUCGGUUAACCACUCUCCAGAGCGAAAGACACAACAUCGAAAUAUAUCCCGUGUGACUCGCGUUUGAGAACCACUGUUGAUAGCAAAGCAUUUUAACCCACUAUCCAUUUUGAUACACCCCGAUCGCGCCGUCGUUUGUUUGAGGUCCCUAUUAUGUUCGGUAGAUGAGUAGUUCGAUGCAAUGUCAUCUUCUGUCCAGUAGUCCGUCCGUCUUUGUCUUUUUUUUUGUCACUGUGUUACUCUUUGCUUUCUGUUCGGUGUCCCAAAAUAUGUUAAAAGACCGCGAACAUCAACGAUUCUUUGUCUUAAAUCUUAAUUUGUUUAAACUCCAAAGUGAACGUCCAUACUAAUUAAAACUUGUUCAAGCCGAACUGUAUCAGCCUCAAGGUGUUCAAUCUCAUCCUAUUGUUCUUCCAUCAUCCUACAUCAAAACUGAUCUUCUGCGACACGAUACACAAAACACAUCAUGGAUGACAUGAAUCCUCGUCAAGUUUUUCGUCGACAACUGCACGCGCAUCUGAGCAGCAUUCCAGGAGUACGAUCGAUCCUGCAACUAUACGUGUGUUGGUGUACAGGAGUCCCUUUGAUGGUUGCUCGGUUACUAGUAGCUCCAGCGAUCGACCCGAUGGAAUAUAUAGUCGCUGCCAAUGUUAUUGCCAAGGAUAUAUUCAACGUUGAGAAGUGUGAUGUAACAAUACAAAUACUACAAGACUCAUAAAACGCUGGCUUUUGACGUGAUGGCUGUAUCGUUGAAAUAUUGUCAUAAGGAUACUAAUGUUUAAAAAAAUAA